GGCCCUUCAGUGGCCCAGUGGUAGUGAAGGCACACCAUAUGCAGAGGCUACAGUCCUCAAUCCAGUUGUCCUGGGUUUAAUACCCAGCCCUGGGCCA